CAAUAGCGUAUAUUAACGUUGUUGCGGUUAAAAAGCUCGUAGUUGGAUUUCUGCUGAGAACGACCGGUCCGCCCUUUGGGUGUGUAUCUGGCUCUUUCUUGGCAUCUUCUUGGUGAACGUUGCUGCACUUGACUGUGUGGAGCGCUACCCAGGACUUUUACUUUGAGGAAAUUAGAGUGUUUCAAGCAGGCAUACGCCUUGAAUACAUUAGCAUGGAAUAAUAAUAUAGGACCUUGGUUCUAUUUUGUUGGUUUCUAGAACUUAGGUAAUGAUUAAUAGGGACAAUUGGGGGCAUUUGUAUUAACACGUCAGAGGUGGAAUUCUUGGAUUGUGUUACGACAAACUACUGCGAAAGCAUUUGCCAAGGAUGUUUNCAUUG
rnacentral:rRNA from 1 species